AUUGAACGCUGGCGACAUGCCUUACACAUGCAAGUCGAACGGCAGCACGGGUGCUUGCACCUGGUGGCGAGUGGCGAACGGGUGAGUAAUACAUCGGAACAUGUCCUGUAGUGGGGGAUAGCCCGGCGAAAGCCGGAUUAAUACCGCAUACGAUCUACGGAUGAAAGCGGGGGACCUUCGGGCCUCGCGCUAUAGGGUUGGCCGAUGGCUGAUUAGCUAGUUGGUGGGGUAAAGGCCUACCAAGGCGACGAUCAGUAGCUGGUCUGAGAGGACGACCAGUCACACUGGGACCGAGACACGGCCCAGACUCCUACGGGAGGCAGCAGUGGGGAAUUUUGGACAAUGGGCGAAAGCCUGAUCCAGCAAUGCCGCGUGUGUGAAGAAGGCCUUCGGGUUGUAAAGCACUUUUGUCCGGAAAGAAAUCCUUGGCCCUAAUACGGUCGGGGGAUGACGGUACCGGAAGAAUAAGCACCGGCUAACUACGUG
rnacentral:rRNA from 1 species